CAAAGAGUAACGUACGCCACAUCAACCCCUAUGGUAAUAGUAACAAUUAUACCUGCUACAAUAAACAUGCAAAUUCGAUGCAUUUAAUGCAUAAGAGAAGCAGUGAAUUGGUUAUCACAAAGGACAUGAUAAAGCAGCGCAAAUGGCUUGCUUUGCAUAUUUAGUAGCAGAGGUGAGCAGGAAGCCAGUUACCCAGGAAUGAACGAAUAUCAUCAACGGUCCACAGGUCGGCCUAAUUAUUGGCGAGCUGCCUGGAUGCCUAGGGAGCCAGAACCAGAACAGAACCCUUUCGUCAUGGCGCAUUUCGAUCGAUACCUACAGCAGCUUUACCGCGCCCAUGUUCAAGGCAUGGCCCCAUACAGGCCCAUCGAAAAUACCAUCGGUGUUGACUGAUUUACAGCACUGGUCGCCAGGUUGGCAAGACCAAAGUGCGCACGAUAAGUCGAGUUUGCCUAUAAUAUGGCCCAACUACUCCAACUGUACUAUGACUUCAAUGCGGAUCUCUCCAACCACGAUGUGGACAUCAACUAGUGGCGCCUUCAGAGACCGUAAACCCACAGGACCUGGGAUAUGUACUCAGAAAAGAAUCAUAACCGAUUUUCCACUGAAGACACAAAACCAACCCCCGUGGAACACCGCGUAUGAUCUUUGUGAAUCAGUUGCAUACCGAUCUGGCCUCCAAAUAGGAGCUCAUCAGUCGGCAGAGUUUUUAGAAUGGUCGUUGGUGGUGGCAAGAGUGUCGGCGAUUCGGCGGUGUCAGCGUAUGAAGCAAGUGAGACAGAGUUCGGCUGAACCAAUGCAGUCGUCGUGGCAAAACGCACCGCACUUUUUACAUAAGAUCAUCGCACGGAGGUUACACACACACGAGUCCUCGGCACCGACGCUUCGACAUCGUGCUAUGCUCUGAAACAGAAACAUAAUAUAGUAGUAAUGAAAUUAUGUAAUAAUUUUAUUAUUAAUGUAGUGAAAAAAUAAAAAUUCACUUACAA